rnacentral:rRNA from 1 species
GGCUCAGAACGAACGCUGGCAGCGUGGAUUAGGCAUGCAAGUCGAACGGGAAUCCAGGGCUUCAAGUUUUCGGACGAGAAGCUUUGGAGGAGAGUGGCGGAAGGGUGAGGAACACGUGGGUAAUCUACCUUCAAGUCGGGGACAACUUCUCGAAAGGGGAGCUAAUACCGGAUGUGGUCUCGCAACGCAUGUUGUGAUGCCUGAAGCUGGGGAUCCUUUGGGACCUGGCGCUUGAUGAGGGGCCCGCGUCCCAUCAGCUAGUUGGCAGGGUAACGGCCUACCAAGGCUUACGGGUAGCUGGUCUGAGAGGAUGAUCAGCCACACUGGGACUGAGACACUGCCCAGACUCCUACGGGAGGCUGCAGUCGAGGAUCAUUGUCAAUGCGCGAAAGCGUGAACAUGCGACGCUGCGUGGAGGAUGACAGCCUUCGGGUUGUAAACUCCUGUCAUGAGGGAACAAUUGUCCGGCCGUGAAUAGCGGUUGGGUUUGAUGGUACCUCAAGAGGAAGCCACGGCUAACUCUGUGCCAGCAGCCGCGGUAAUACAGAGGUGGCGAGCGUUGUUCGGAUUUACUGGGCGUAAAGCGUGCGUAGGCGGCAUCGUGUGUCGGAUGUGAAAGCCCACGGCUCAACCGUGGAAAUGCAUUCGAAACUGCGGGGCUUGAGUGCAGGAGGGGAGAGCGGAAUUCUUGGUGUAGCGGUGAAAUGCGUUGAUAUCAAGAAGAACACCGGUGGCGAAGGCGGCUCUCUGGAAUGCUACUGACGCUGAGGCACGAAAGCUGGGGGAGCGAACAGGAUUAGAUACCCUGGUAGUCCCAGCCGUAAACGGUGUCGACUUGGUGUGGGGGGUAUUGACCCCCCCCGUGCCGGAGCUAACGCGUUAAGUCGACCGCCUGGGGAGUACGGCCGCAAGGCUAAAACUCAAAGAAAUUGACGGGGGCCCGCACAAGCGGAGGAGCAUGUGGCUUAAUUCGAUGCAACGCGAAGAACCUUACCAGGGCUUGACAUGCAGCUGCAAGCCCCCCGAAAGGGGGGAAGCCUUCGAGGGUGCUGCACAGGUGCUGCAUGGCUGUCGUCAGUUCGUGCCGUGAGGUGUUGGGUUAAGUCCCGCAACGAACGCAACCCUUGUGUUUAGUUGCCACCGCAGGUGAUGAGCCUGCGAGCACUCUAGACAGACUGCCCGUACAAGCGGGAGGAAGGUGGGGACGACGUCAAGUCAGUAUGGCCCUUACGCCCUGGGCUGCACACGUGCUACAAUGGUCGGUACAGAGGGAUGCAAUACCGCGAGGUGGAGCAAAUCCCCAAAACUGGCCCCAGUUCGGAUUGGAGUCUGCAACUCGACUCCAUGAAGUUGGAUUCGCUAGUAACGGCGCAUCAGCUACGGCGCCGUGAAUACGUUCCCGGGCCUUGUACACACCGCCCGUCAC